rnacentral:rRNA from 1 species
CCUACAGGAGGCAGCAGUGGGGGAUAUUGCACAAUGGGGGGAACCCUGAUGCAGCGACGCCGCGUGAGCGAAGAAGUAUUUCGGUAUGUAAAGCUCUAUCAGCAGGGAAGAAAAAAAUGACGGUACCUGAGUAAGAAGCACCGGCUAAAUACGUGCCAGCAGCCGCGGUAAUACGUAUGGUGCAAGCGUUAUCCGGAUUUACUGGGUGUAAAGGGGGCGCAGACGGCGAUGCAAGCCAGGAGUGAAAGCCCGAGGCCCAACCCCGGGACUGCUCUUGGAACUGCGUGGCUAGAGUGCAGGAGGGG